GACGAACGCUGGCGGCGUGCUUAACACAUGCAAGUCGAGCGGAAAGGCCCUGCUUUUGUGGGGUGCUCGAGUGGCGAACGGGUGAGUAACACGUGAGUAACCUGCCCUUGACUUUGGGAUAACUUCAGGAAACUGGGGCUAAUACCGGAUAGGAGCUCCUGCUGCAUGGUGGGGGUUGGAAAGUUUCGGCGGUUGGGGAUGGACUCGCGGCUUAUCAGCUUGUUGGUGGGGUAGUGGCUUACCAAGGCUUUGACGGGUAGCCGGCCUGAGAGGGUGAUCGGCCACAUUGGGACUGAGAUACGGCCCAGACUCCUACGGGAGGCAGCAGUGGGGAAUAUUGCACAAUGGGCGGAAGCCUGAUGCAGCAACGCCGCGUGCGGGAUGACGGCCUUCGGGUUGUAAACCGCUUUCGCCUGUGACGAAGCGUGAGUGACGGUAAUGGGUAAAGAAGCACCGGCUAACUACGUG
rnacentral:rRNA from 1 species